GUGAAUCAUCAAAUCUUUGAACGCAUAUUGCACUUUCUGGUAUUCCGGAGAGUAUGCCUGUUUGAGGGUCAGUUAAAUAAAAAUCGGUGUUGUUGCUACUUUUAGCGAUGAUGCAUCGGACUUGAGUUGUCUUUACCUUUUUUGGUUAAAGUGUCUUAUAAUUAUGUACGUUUUUUUGAACGUACUUAUAUUGUUUACUUCUUUUCAUAAUAUUACAUAUAUU
rnacentral:misc_RNA from 1 species